rnacentral:rRNA from 1 species
AUUGAACGCUGGCGGCAGGCCUAACACAUGCAAGUCGAACGAGUGGCGGACGGGUGAGUAAUGUCUGGGAAACUGCCUGAUGGAGGGGGCUAACUACUGGAAACUGUAGCUAAUACCGCAUACCAUCGGAUCUGCCCAGAUGGGAUUAGCUAGUGGGUGGGGUAAAGGCUCACCUAGGCGACGAUCCCUAGCUGGUCUGCGAGGAGGACCAGCCACACUGGAACUGAGACACGGUCCAGAUUCGUACGGGAGGCAGCAGUGGGGAAUAUUGCACAAUGGGCGCAAGCCGGAUGCAGCCAUGCCGCGUGUAUGAAGAAGGCCUUCGGGUUGUAAAGUACUUUCAGCGGGGAGGCGUUACCCGCAGAAGAAGCACCGGCUAACACCGUGCCAGCAGCCGCGGUAAUUC